rnacentral:rRNA from 1 species
GGAUUAGGCAUGCAAGUCGAACGAGGAUAUAUCCUUCGGGAUGUAAGCCGAGUGGCGCAAGGGUGAGUAAUGCAUAGAUUACCUGCCUCUAGGAUAAGGACAACUUUGUGAAAACGGAGCUAAUACUUAAUAAUACAAGAGAAAAUAAUAUUCUUUUGUCAAUGGGAGGGUAGCAAUAUCUUUUGCCUGGAGAGGGGUUUAUGUCCUAUCAGCUUGUUGGUGGGGUAAUGGCCUACCAAGGCUUAGACGGGUAGCCGGCCUUAGAGGGUGGUCGGCCACACUGGGACUGAGACACUGCCCAGACUUCUACGGAAGGCUGCAGUCGAGAAUCUUUCGCAAUGCCCGAAAGGGUGACGAAGCGACGCCGCGUGGGUGAGGAAGGCCUUCGGGUUGUAAAGCCCUGUCAGGAGUUAAGAAAUAUAAGUGUGCUAAUACCACAUUUAUUUGACGAAGGCUCCAAAGGAAGCCACGGCUAACUCUGUGCCAGCAGCCGCGGUAAUACAGAGGUGGCAAGCGUUGUUCGGAAUUAUUGGGCGUAAAGAGCACGUAGGUGGGUUUGUAAGUCAGAUGUGAAAGCCUUCUGUUCAACGGGAGAAUUGCAUCUGAAACUGUAAAUCUUGAGUGUAGGAGGGGAGAAUGGAACUUCUGGUGGAGCGGUGAAAUGCGUAGAUAUCAGAAGGAACGCCGGCGGCGAAAGCGAUUCUCUGGCCUAUUACUGACACUCAGUGUGCGAAAGCUAGGGGAGCAAACGGGAUUAGAUACCCCGGUAGUCCUAGCCGUAAACGAUGGGCACUAAGUAGAGGGAAUUACCGAUGUUCUCUCUGCCGUAGCUAACGCAUUAAGUGCCCCGCCUGGGGAGUACGGCCGCAAGGCUAAAACUCAAAAGAAUUGACGGGGGCUCGCACAAGCGGUGGAGCAUGUGGCUUAAUUCGAUGCAACGCGAAAAACCUUACCGGGGCUUGACAUGGUAGAAGUAGGAACCCGAAAGGGUAACGAACGGUAUCCAGUCCGUAGCUAUCACAGGUGUUGCAUGGCUGUCGUCAGCUCGUGUCGUGAGACGUUGGGUUAAGUCCCCUAACGAGCGAAACCCUUGUUUUUAGUUACCAGCGGGUUGUGCCGGGUACUCUAGAAAGACUGCCGUCGUCAAGACGGAGGAAGGUGGGGAUGACGUCAAGUCAUCAUGGCCCUUAUGCCCCGGGCUGCACACGUGCUACAAUGGUCGGUACAAACGGAAGCGAAGCCGUAAGGUGGAGCGAAUCCUAAAAAGCCGAUCUCAGUUCGGAUUGGAGGCUGAAAUUCGCCUCCAUGAAGUUGGAAUCGCUAGUAAUCGCGGAUCAGCAGUGCCGCGGUGAAUAUGUUCCCGAGCCUUGUACACACCGCCCGUC